rnacentral:sRNA from 1 species
AUAAUCAGCGUGCCUCUGUUUCGCACGACGCUGAAGGCGCGGGUGCAGAUUAGGCUGCCCCGCCGCCUCCAGCGUUCCGUAUGCGAAGGUUAUCGUCGACAC